AGGACGAACGCUGGCGGCGUGCUUAACACAUGCAGGUCGAACGGGAUUUAGUAAACAGAAGCCUCGGCGGAAGAUUACUAAUGAGAGUGGCGAACGGGUGAGUAACGCGUGAGCAACCUGCCUAUGACAGUGGGAUAGCCUCGGGAAACCGGGAUUAAUACCGCAUAAAAUCGUAGAAACACAUGUUUUAACGGUCAAAGAUUUAUCGGUCAUAGAUGGGCUCGCGUCUGAUUAGCUAGUUGGUGAGAUAACAGCCCACCAAGGCGACGAUCAGUAGCCGGUCUGAGGGGAUGAACGGCCACAUUGGAACUGAGACACGGUCCAAACUCCUACGGGAGGCAGCAGUGGGGAAUAUUGCACAAUGGGGGAAACCCUGAUGCAGCGACGCCGCGUGAACGAAGAAGGUAUUCGUAUCGUACAGUUCUGUCCUAUGGGAAGAUAAUGACAGUACCAUACGAAGAAAGCUCCGGCUAAAUACGUGCCAGCAGCCGCGGUAAUACGUAUGGAGCGAGCGUUGUCCGGAAUUAUCGGGCGUAAAGGGUACGCAGGCGGUUUAAUAAGUCGACUGUACAAGAUCGGGGCUCAACCCCGUAAAGCAUUGGAACCUGAUCAACUUGAGUACGUGGCCA
rnacentral:rRNA from 1 species